CCUACGGGGGGCAGCAGUAGGGAAUAUUGCUCAAUGGGGGAAACCCUGAAGCAGCAACGCCGCGUGGAGGAUGAAGGUUUUCGGAUUGUAAACUCCUUUUGUUAGAGAAGAUAAUGACGGUAUCUAACGAAUAAGCACCGGCUAACUCCGUGCCAGCAGCCGCGGUAAUACGGAGGGUGCAAGCGUUACUCGGAAUGACUGGGCGUAAAGGGCGCGUAGGCGGGAUAGCAAGUCAGAUGUGAAAUCCUAUGGCUUAACCAUAGAACUGCAUUUGAAACUGUUAUUCUAGAGUAUGGGAGAGGUAGGUGGAAUUCUUGGUGUAGGGGUAAAAUCCGUAGAGAUCAAGAGGAAUACUCAUUGCGAAGGCGACCUGCUAGAACAUAACUGACGCUGAUGCGCGAAAGCGUGGGGAGCAAACAGGAUUAGAUACCCCGGUAGUC
rnacentral:rRNA from 1 species